UUGUGGAGAUGUAAGACCCCCUUUCGGGGACCCCCAAUCUAGUCUCAGGAGAGAGAGCGCACCCAAAGAAACACGAGAAUCC
rnacentral:pre_miRNA from 7 species